AAAGAUGGGGCGGCGCGGCCGGGGCUCGCCAGCACCAGCCCUGGAACCCCAUGGGGGACCUCGACAACAGCGCCUUUGCGGCGUGGGCCCCUUUCUGCAGCUCCUCCACCCGCGCGCUGUCGGCUCCGGGACACUGGGGCUUUGAAGGGCGCCAGUUCCCAGCCGCACCUGCACGCCUAGGAGGGCGCAGGCCGCGUGUCCCUGUGGGAGGAAGGCCCCGGCAACCUGCAAAGACCUCACGUCACAGAAACUUGCGGCGUUUGCCCCCGAUGCGCGCGUCAGGUGCUCCGUCCCUUCCAGGUGGCAGAGGAGAGGGAAGGGUCGCGCCUGGUGGGGGCCUGAGAGCCACCGGGCUGCGGUGCGCGAGUGUGGACACCGCCCCGCCUUCUGCGUCUACAGCCCUGGGUUCUGGGACCUUUGGAAACCGCUUUGGACGAAGCUGAGCAUCUCUUUCCCCACGCUGACCUCCCCCAUAGACUCCGGAUGGGAGUAAAUGAGGCUCCUGGGAAAUCCAGAAACUCUAGAGAAGCUUGUUUGCCAAACCUUGCUUUGGGCGGUGGAGACAGAAUAUCAUGUCCCAGAUCAGCGUGUGGUGACUGUGGAGGCAUUUACACACAGCACACUCCAGCUCUGCCACUGGGCCGGCUGAGGUGGCUGCGGUACACGGCGCCCAUCCUGAGCCCCAGGUUCCUCACAUGUCAACAGCAUGAAAAGUGCCUCUAAGACAUCCACAGGUGUGCAGUGUUAAAGCAGGCAGCGCCUCAGCUUGGUUAGCUCCCUUAAGGACUGCGGCUCCCUUAGGACAAGGCUCUGUCCCUCAGAGCACUGAGUGCGAUCUCAUGCUGGCAUCUUAGAGACAUUGUAUUCACCAGGAUUUUAGCGUUAAGGCCAGGCAUAAUGGUUCAUGCCUGUAAUUCCAGCACUUUGGGAGGCCGAGGUGGGCAGAUCACUUGAAGCCAGGAGUUCAAGACCAGCCUGGCCAACAUGGAGAAACCCUCUCUAUUUUUAAAUACAUUUAAAAUGUUAACAAUUAAAACAAAAUAUUUUACCGUUAGUAUGAUGCUUGAUACAGGAUUUCUGGUACAUACGCCUUAUCAAAUUAAAUAAGUUUCCUUUUACUCUUGUUUAUUGUUAUUUUUUAAAAUAAGGAAUGAAUCUUGGAUUUUAGUGUAUCAAUAAUUAUAUUUUAUUCUUUAACUUCAUAAUAUUCCUUAUAAUUCCUUAUGUCAUAUUAAAGAUGUAAAUUCAUAUAUAUUUUAUCAUACAAAUGAUUAAUAAAUGUAUAAGCAUGUCAUUAUAUGAGAGUAUACUUCCUUAUGUUUCAUGAAUGCAUCGUGACAGGCUCAUUUUUUUAAUCACUGCUCGAUUUGUGCCACUGAUGUUUUAUGAGGCCUAUUUAUGUCGGCGAUGGUAAGAGUGUUAGUGUUUCCUCUGUGGGUACCUUCAUCUACCGUGAGUCUCCUGGAUAUGCUAGCAUCACAGAAUGGCAGGCGGAAAUUUCCAGCUUUUUCUAUAGAAUGAGUUUAACACAGAAAAUAGAUCUUUCUUGAAAAUGUGGUAACACUUACCUGGAAACCUCCCUGGCCUAGUGCCUCUUUUCUUGGGGCUAAAGGGUAUGAAAAUGGGUAGAUCUCCAAAUGCCUUUUCCAUUUUUCUAUGAAUAUUAUUCCUACUCAGGCUUUUCUCUUCUUGGAACAAUGCUGCUAACUUGUGCCUACUUGGCUAUUUCUACUUCAUGUAUAUUUUCAAAUCCAUUGGUGUGCAAGUGGACUUAGUAUGUUCUUGCAAGCGUAAGAGUCUCCAUUAGUGUAAUGACCUUCUCUCUUUCUGUUUUCCUUGAGCAAUUAACAUAUAUUUGUCUUAUUUUAUUGGUCUUCUCAAAAGAAUAUGCUUUUGAGUUAUUGAUCACCUGUACCAUGUGUUCUAUCACACUAUUCUGUGUUUACUCAAGCUCGUUAAUUGAUAUUCAAAU
rnacentral:lncRNA from 1 species